GUUGGUAGAUUAGUCACCUGAAGGUCUGGAUAUCGCCAGAUCUGUAAGUAGAUUUAAAAGAACAUUAUUAGUAAUUCUUUGAGACAUAGAAUUUAGAUUUAAAAGAGAAAAAUGACUGUAAUAGAAGUAAUGAGUAGAUCUGCAGGGAGCAUUUCGCAACGAGUCGCCGUGCUCCGGCACCAUCUUGCUGUACAGUACAACUUAGCGGGAAACAGGUUCUGGUUCUGGAGCAGAGGGAACAAAAAUAGCAGCAACUUGUCCCGAUAAAAGCAGGGUCAUUUGUCCAGAGCGGAGAAUAGUCACAUUAUUAUUUGCAUAAAAUAAGUUUCAGUUACUCACUGAAUGGGUUGCUAAGUUUGACAGUGGAAUUACCCAAUUGUCUCCUGUUUGUCUUGCUCUAGUGUUGCAACUACAUGCACUUUUUUAAAGAUAAUUUUCAAUGUACAGGAAUGAGUUUGUAGUUUAAGCUGUUCUUACAUUGUGAACAUUCAUUGUUACCAAUUCAAACGUUCUGCCACAGGUUUAAUGGACAGUUAGUGCCAGCACACCAACAAGUGGUACAAGGCUGGCGCGUAUGUGGAAGGAGCUGCCAGAGGAAAUGGGUUGAGGCAGUUACGAUAACAUUUCAAAGACAUUUGGAUAAGUACAUGGAAUGGAGCGGUUUAGAGGACAUGAGUCAAAUGCAGCAUCUCCUCUGGCAGCGCGUCCAACGGUGAAUCAGGGCACACGGGAUUUAUGCCUUCAUUGCGGAUCGAUAGAAGACCAGGGACGUCAUGCUGGAACUUUAUGACAUUUCGGUUGGGCAAUGGCUGUGGAGUUCCUGGUCGCCACACUGGAAGGAAGGAAGUGCAGAGAGGAUAACUUUGUGUGUUUAUGUACCAGGACAUCCUGAUCCUCUGUCCUGAAGCAUUCCGCAAUCUUUCUGCACGUUCCAGCAGCCUAUCACCUCCUUCUUCUCCAUUUAUCAUUCAACUUGACCUCAAAUGUGCAAAAUUAAUAUUGUUCCUUCACCGUCACUGGGUCUAACCCCAGAACUCCCUCCCCAAAGACGCUGUGGGAGCCACCUUCACCCUAAGAUAAGGCCGGAGCCCCUGAACUCAGCGUGUGGAACACAGACACGACUGCACUGGGGUGCGACCUCUCUCGGAACCUGGGAUGGUGCGACACUUCAACAAGAAAUCAGCCCACCGAUGAUCUCUCGUCAAACUGGAACUACCUCUGAAAACUGCCUCUUUCAGACUUCAUAUCUUCAUAUUCCUGUAAAGGGGCAACUCUUUCACACAGAGGGCAGUGGGUACGUGGAACGAAAUGCCAGAAGGAGUGGCAGAGGCAGGUACAAUUAUGACAUUUAAAAGACACUUGGACAGGUACCUGGAUAGGAAGGGAGGGCAGGCACGGUAGUGUAGCGGUUAGUAUAACGCUAUUACAGCGCCAGCGACCCGGGUUCAAUUCCGGCCGCUGUCUGUAAGGAGUUUGUACAUUCUCCCCGUGUCUGCGUGGGUCUCCUCCGCGUUCUCCGGUUUCCUCCCACAUUCAAAGAAGUACGGUUUAGGAAGUUGUGGGCAUGCUGUGUUGGCGCAGGAAGCCUGGCGACACUUGCGGGCUGCCCCCCAGAACACUCUCAGUAACGCAAAAAGAGGCAUUCCACUGUGUGUUUUGAUGUACAUGUGACUAAUAAACACAUAAUAAUGUAAAAUAAUAACUGGGUCUAUGUCACUGCAGGUGACGGCUCUUCAAGAUCACAUCGCAGGACUGUGUAGAUGUGAGGGGUUGGUGGGGGAGGGGAUCUCUGCCUCUCCCACCCUUUCAGGCACUGAGUUCCAGACCCUCACACCCUCUAGAGAUAAACCUUUCCCUCCCCUCCCCUCUAAUCCUUCUACCAGUGACUUCACACCUCUGCCUCUUGGUUUUGACUGGUCUGCCGAGGGCGACAGGUCCUGCCCAUGUACUCUCUCCAAGCCCUCAUAGUUUUAUACA